rnacentral:rRNA from 1 species
UACGUAGGGUGCAAGCGUUAUCCGGAAUUAUUGGGCGUAAAGAGCUCGUAGGCGGUUUGUCGCGUCUGCUGUGAAAACUGGAGGCUCAACCUCCAGCCUGCAGUGGGUACGGGCAGACUAGAGUGCGGUAGGGGAGAUUGGAAUUCCUGGUGUAGCGGUGGAAUGCGCAGAUAUCAGGAGGAACACCGAUGGCGAAGGCAGCUCGCUGGGACGGUACUGACGCUGAGGCGCGAAAGCGUGGGGAGCAAACAGG